CCUACGGGAGGCAGCAGUGAGGAAUAUUGGUCAAUGGGCGCGAGCCUGAACCAGCCAAGUAGCGUGAAGGAUGACUGCCCUACGGGUUGUAAACUUCUUUUAUACAGGAGUAAAGUGAGGCACGUGUGCAUUUGUGUGUGUACUUUAUGAAUAAGGACCGGCUAACUCCGUGCCAGCAGCCGCGGUAAUACGGAGGAUGCGCGUGUUGUCCGGAUUGAUUGGGUUUAAAGGGAGCGUAGAUGGGUUAGUAAGUCAGUGGUGAAAGUCUGCGGCUCAACCGUAAAAUUGCAAUUGAUACUGGCAGUCUUGAGUACAGGUGAGGUAGGCGGAAUUCGUGGUGUAGCGGUGAAAUGCUUAGAUAUCACGAAGAACCCCGAUUGCGAAGGCAGCUUACUAAACUGCCACUGACAUUGAUGCUCGAAAGUGUGGGUAGCAAACAGGAUUAGAUACCCGGGUAGUC
rnacentral:rRNA from 1 species